AGGACCUUCUUGUUGUGAGGUGGCCGCACUAACCACAGCACCACCGUGCCGCCCUGGUCCCGGGACUCAACUGGAAGAGUCUGUUGAGUUUCUGUGCAGGUCAACAGGUGACUCGACGCUAGCUGAGCCACGGAAGAAACCGGAUCACCU